rfam:Sporanaerobacter acetigenes DSM 13106 genome assembly, contig: EJ96DRAFT_scaffold00005.5
AUGAAAAAUGCGGGAGAGAUCAAGUUUUUUGACGCCGAAGGAGUAAGUAUGGGAUUUGCCAUUCUAUUACGAAGCUCUCAGGCAAAGGGACCGUGUUUGGACA